UACGUAGGGGGCAAGCGUUGUCCGGAAUUAUUGGGCGUAAAGAGCUCGUAGGCGGCUUGUCACGUCGAUUGUGAAAGCCCGAGGCUUAACCUCGGGUCUGCAGUCGAUACGGGCUAGCUAGAGUGUGGUAGGGGAGAUCGGAAUUCCUGGUGUAGCGGUGAAAUGCGUAGAUAUCGGAAGGAACACCAGUGGCGAAAGCGGCUUCCUGGUCCAGCACCGACGUUCAGGCACGAAAGCGUGGGGAGCAAACAGG
rnacentral:rRNA from 1 species